rfam:Hordeum vulgare subsp. vulgare, WGS project CAJW01000000 data, contig: morex_contig_368960
AUAUUACUCCCUCCGUCCCAAAAUAAGUGACUCAAAAUUGAUUCAACUUUGUACUAAUGUUAGUACAAAAUUGAAUCAUUUUUGAGUCAUUUAUUUUGGCACGGAGGGAGUAUAUA